rnacentral:rRNA from 1 species
GACUGCAGGCUGAAACCCGCCUGCACGAAGUUGGAAUUGCUAGUAAUCGCGGAUCAGCAUGCCGCGGUGAAUACGUUCCCGGGUCUUGUACACACCGCCCGUCACACCAUGGGAGCCGGUAACACCCGAAGUCCGUAGUCUAACCGCAAGGGGGGCGCGGCCGAAGGUGGGUCCGGUAAUUGGGGUGAAGUCGUAACAAGGUACC